rnacentral:misc_RNA from 1 species
CCUGAGUUGCAAACUCCCAAACCCUGUGAACAUACCUAUACGUUGCUUCGGCGGGAGGCCACAGGCCUCGGACCUACCCCGUCGAGGGGGGCCCGCCGGAGGAGUCCCAAACCCACUUUUUUAGUCUUACAUACGACUUCUGAGUAGGAUUUAUAAAUCAAGUCA